UACAAUGUCUCCCUGUCUCCUUGUCAGAG
rnacentral:piRNA from 1 species